rnacentral:rRNA from 1 species
UAGGGAAUCUUCCACAAUGGGCGAAAGCCUGAUGGAGCAACGCCGCGUGUGUGAUGAAGGGUUUCGGCUCGUAAAACACUGUUGUAAGAGAAGAAUGACNUUGAGGGUAACUGUUCAAUGUGUGACGGUAUCUUACCAGAAAGGAACGGCUAAAUACGUGCCAC